rnacentral:misc_RNA from 1 species
CCUAAAGAGAUGGGGUCCUUGAAGAGGCUAACUGUUCUUGCAUUACAAUAUAACAGACUAACUUAUCAAAUUCCAGCCAGCUUAGGGAACUUGGGGAUGCUGAGAAGGCUUGAUCUAGCUUCUAAUCAAUUGUCUGGUCCAAUUCCUCCAAGUGUAUCAAAUGCUCCACAAUUGCAACUGCUAGAUAUCCGUAACAAUUCUCUUUCUGGAAUGGUUCCUUCUGCUUUGCAGAGAUUAGAAGGAGGGUUUCAAUUUGCCAAGAACAAAGAUUUAUGUGGAGUUGGGUUUCAAACACUAAGAGCUUGCACUCCAUUCGAUACUAUGAACAUCAACCAAGUUGAACCCCAAGGACCAAUCACAAAUAGUACUACUCCGAGGACUAUCCCUGCUGCAUCUGCAAAUUUUCACACACCUUGCAACAAAACCAACUGUUCACAUUCGUCAAAAUUUCCACGAAUUGCGAUUGUUGCUGGGGUUAUUACAGCCACUGUUAUGUUGAUAGGUACUGGAUUUCUGAUCAUUUUCUUUAUUCGCCGGAAAAAACAGAAGAUUGGAAAUACAUCCGAGUCU